rnacentral:rRNA from 2 species
UCUGGUUGAUCCUGCCAGUAGUCAUAUGCUUGUCUUAAAGAUUAAUCCAUGCAUGUGUAAGUAUAAGUAUUGUACAGCGAAACUGCGAAUGGCUCAUUACAUCAGUUAUAAUUUAUUUGAUAAUCGAAAGUUACAUGGAUAACCGUGACAAAUUACAGCUAAUACAUGCAGUCAGACCUGGUCCAAGGGUCGUAAUUAUUAGUAUUAAACCAUUUCCGAAAGGAGUGUGAUGAAUCAUAAUAAUCGAACGAAUCGCCUGGUGUGCGAUAAAUCAUUCAAGUUUCUGCCCUAUCAGCUUUGGAUGGUAGUGUAUUGGACUACCAUGGCAGUCACGGGUAACGGAGAAUUAGGGUUCGAUUCCGGAGAGGGAGCCUGAGAAACGGCUACCACAUCUACGGAAGGCAGCAGGAGCGAAAAUUGCCCAAUCCCGACACGGGGAGGCAGUGACGAGAAAUAACAACUCUUGGUUAUUCUAAGAAGUGUAAUGAGGAUAAUUUAAAACCCUUACCGAAAGCAAUUGGAGGGCAAGUCUGGUGCCAGCAGCCGCGGUAAUUCCAGCUCCAAUAGCGUAUAUUAAAGUUGUUGCAGUUAAAAAGCUCGUAGUUGAAGUUCUGGCUGUUCGAUCCUCGAGCUCUGUAGCCGAGGACUCGACAGUCAUCCGCUUGCAAAUAUAUGUUCGCCUUUAACCGGGCGGCUAUAUGAGUAAGCAAUUUACCUUGAGAAAAACAGAGUGUUCCAGGCAGGUUUGUCCGGAAUGCAUUAGCAUGGAAUAAUAGAAUAUGACUGAAGUCGAUUUAUUGGUUUGAGGCUUUAGUAAUGAUUAAUAGGAACAGUCGGGGGCAUUGGUACUUGACAGUCAGAGGUGAAAUUCUAGGAUUUGUCAAAGACUAACAAAUGCGAAAGCAUUUGCCAAGGAUGUUUUCAUUAAUCAAGAACGAAAGUUAGGGGAUCAAAGACGAUCAGAUACCGUCCUAGUCUUAACUAUAAACUAUACCGACUCGGAUUCAGAUGAAUCAUAAAGUUCAUUUGGGACCGUAGGAGAAAUCAAAGUUUUUGGGUUCUGGGGGAAGUAUGGUCGCAAGGCUGAAACUUAAAGGAAUUGACGGUUUUGCACCACCAUGGAGUGGAGUCUGCGGCUUAAUUUGACUCAACACUGGGAAACUCAUCAGGGCAAGAAGAUUGUAGGAUUGACAGAUUGAGAGUUCUUUCUUGAUUGGUCUAGUGGUGGUGCAUGGCCGUUCUUAGUUGGUGGAGUGAUUUGUCUGGUUAAUUCCGUUAACGAACGAGACCUUAACCUGCUAACUAGUACACAGAUGACAAAUCUGUGAUACUUCUUAGAGGGACUAUGUGAUGUAAUCACAUGGAAGUUUGAGGCAAUAACAGGUCUGUGAUGCCCUUAGAUGUCCUGAGCUGCACGCGUACUACAAUGGUGCUUUCAACGAGCUUUUCCUGAUCCGAAAGGAUUUGGGUAAUCUUUUUAGUGAGCACCGUGCUUGGGAUAGAUCUUUGUAAUUAUGGAUCUUGAACUAGGAAUUCCUAGUAAGCGCGCGUCAUCAGCGCGUGCUGAUUACGUCCCUGCAAAAUGUACACACCGCCCGUCGCUAUUACCGAUUGAGUGUAAAGGUGAACCUUCUCGAUAGACGCAAGUCCAGAAAUUAAGUAAACCUUUGCACUUAGAGGAAAUAAAAGUCGUAACAAGGUUUCCGUAGGUGAACCUGCGGAAG